rnacentral:tRNA from 1 species
GGAGGGAUGGCAGAGCGGUUGAAUGCACUGGUCUUGAAAACCAGCAAGGGCGUAAGCCCUUCCAGGGUUCGAAUCCCUGUCCCUCCG